UGCAGAAGAAAGAUGUGGAAGUGAAAGACACUUUCACUAUAUAUAGUGGCACCCACUUCCAGAUCUUUCUUUCUGUG
rfam:Chlorocebus sabaeus isolate 1994-021 chromosome 9, whole genome shotgun sequence.